rnacentral:rRNA from 1 species
CAGUAGUGCACUCUUAACAAAACCAAUAUCCACCCUGCUGCACCUUCUGUAGGCAGGGUCUUAUUCAAGCUCUGUCUAUGUAUCUUAACAAACUCAAUUGACUGAAUGCUAUGCAUAUACUUUAAUGUGAUUGUAACACAACUUUCAACAACGGAUCUCUUGGCUCUCGCAUCGAUGAAGGACGCAGCGAAAUGCGAUAAGUAAUGUGAAUUGCAGAAUUCAGUGAAUCAUCGAAUCUUUGAACGCACCUUGCACCCUUUGGUAUUCCGAAGGGUAUGCCUGUUUGAGUGUCUUGAAACUCUCAAAACCCGAGCCUUUUGUUAAGAUCGGCUCUGGGCUUUUGGACUUGGGCGUCUUUUUUGCCGGCUUUGCUUCGGCUCGUCCCAAAUGCAUUAGCUGACCUCUGUAGUGGUUUCGCUUGCUCGGUGUGAUAAGUAUCACUCGCUGAGUUUGGAACCGCAGGAGGGGUUGCUUCCAGUCGUCCGCAAGGACAACCAUUCAAGUGUUUGACCUCAAAUCAGGUAGGACUACCCGCUGAACUUAAGCAUAUCAAUAAGCGGAGGAAAAGAAACUAACAAGGAUUCCCCUAGUAACGGCGAGUGAAGCGGGAAAAGCUCAAAUUUGUAAUCUGGCGGUCUCUGGCCGUCCGAGUUGUAUUCUAGAGAAGUGUUAUCCGUG